UUUUAUCCAAGAAAGUGAUUACGUUAUUGGCAAAAUAAAUUGGAUAGCAUUCUUAUUCCUUCUAGGCCGACGUUCAUUGAUAUUCUCUUGGAAUGAUUUUCAAUUUGGACGUUGGGUUUUAAAAAAAGAUUGCACGAGCUGAAUUAUCUUUAAAAAUUUGGAGGAUAUAUUAACGCUAUUGAUAGAGGGUUUCUGCCAAGGAACGUAAACAAUAUUAUUGAGAAAGAGUUUUAGCCAAGAUUAUCUUUGCAUAGCAAAGUUAUUGCUUUGGUCAUUUCAUACGGAUUUUUUGACUCCGAUCUCAUCGUUACAUGUUUUGUUGCAAUUAACGAGUAUCAGAGGGAUUGUCAAGAAAAUCAACUCAGGUAUGUGAGGCUAUUCCUUUCCUUCUUUUGCAUGACUCCGAUUGUACAUAAUGUAAUGAGCGAGCUUCCAAAGAUACUCUACUCUUAGAAGCUAGCAGUACUUACAUUGUUUCCCCUCUUAUGGAACAAUUGAUGUUGAUGUUACUUCUCUUACUCUUAUGUUAUCAAUGUUAUUGAUACUUUUUGAUUCUUAUAAGGUUCAUAGUAAAGAGUGUAAGCACGUGAUUUUUGCCCUAUGAAACAAUUACUCCCAAAAAUUCAAAAUAAAACGAUUUUUCUUGGUGUGCAAUUUUGAGAAUUUUUGUGACAUUUUUGGAUAAUUAUUUGUAUCUGUCUAUGCAUGUUUAUUUGUUAAAUUAAUAAAAAAUACAAAAAUAUGUCGCAUUUUGCAUGUAGGAUUUAAUUCUACAAUUGUUAGUAAUUAAGGUUGUUUUACAAAAAUUGAAAAUUACAAAAAUAGGCAUCUUUUGCAUUUUUAGCAUUUAAUGUCCAAAUGUAUAAUUUUAUGCUUAAUUAUUAGUUAAUUCUGCGUUAAUUGUUAUUGGGAUUUAAUUUGCGCUUUUAUAACUUAAUAAUAAUUUAAGGAUUUUUAGAAUUUAGUUUUAGAAAAAUAAAAGAAGAAAAGAGAGUAAAAAAUAUAAAGAAAAUCGGAAUUGGGCUCUUCUUCAAAUUCAAGCCACAAGCCCCAAAAAUACCCAACAUUCCCCAUGACCCGGUCCAUUUCAAACCGGGUUGACCCGGUCCAUAACCCAAAUACCCAACACCCCCUAUAUUACACAAAACAAAACAAAAAACCAAAAAAGAAAAACCCUAAAAAACCAAAAAAUACCUAUCCGCCCCCACCCCCUCCUUCUUCNNNNNNNNNNNNNNNNNNNNNNNNNCGUCCAAUACACACACACACGCACCCACCUUCGAGCUCCAUAUCGACGUCCAUGGCAGCAGCACCAACAACCCUCCACCACCUUCUCCUUCACGUCCAAACGGACCCAUGGCUGUUGCGUUGCUCCAUCUUCUGCCUCAUCCAAGCUCCUACAAUGGCGAACCCUUCACCAUUUUCUUCGAGCUCGAGUGCGAGCUCUCAUGGCCGUUGCUUCAUCUCCUCCACACGAAUAGUAGCUCCGCCAACAACCAUCCCAUGCUUGCCGCUGCUACCUCCUACUUCCUCGACGAACAACGACCAGCUGCCUCGACUGCUUCUGCUUCUGCUUCUGCUUAUGCUACGUUGCUAAUGCCAUAGCCCGUUCAGCAGCUGCUUGGGGCAGCGAUGCUGCUGCUUUGUCAAGCAGCUGGACUUAAAACCAGCUCGUCGCUGCUUCACCUCCAGCUGCCUCGACUCCUUCUGCUUCACCUCAUUGCCACCGUCUUCAACCAAACGCCCUCCUGUGUCGUCGCGGCUACUCCCAAAACCAAGAUCUUUCUGCUGCUUCCGCGAUGUCCAACCAUGUCCAUCACGUCUAAACCCAAACCCCAUCGCUUCUGCUGUGUUGCUGUUGCUUCGUCAAGCAUUUGAUUCGAAACAAACCCCGUUCCUGCUCGCCAAGAUAUUUGCCGGGCAGAUUCGAGUUAUGUUGGUUUCAAGGUUUUCGGGCAGAUUUGUUUUCAUCAAGUUCUUCGUGGUUUCGAUCCGGUUAGUAGGUUCAAUUUUCACUUUUGUCCGUAUUUUGUUUUUGAUAUUCUCGAAUCUAAAAUCGGUAAAUGUUUGAUUUUUGUUUUGUUCGUGUUCAUUGUUUUGUUAAUUUUUCAGUUUGGUCAUGCGAAAUUGUUAGUUUAGUGUCGUUAGACUUAAAUUGGAGUUUAAUUAAUUAUUUCUUCAGUUUGUUUCAUGUGUUAUGUAUUUUUUUCAGAAAUUGUUAAUGUUAAUUAAAUCAUUUGAAUCCGUCUUGUUUGUUGUUUAAUAUAGAUUUAAUUCGUGUUCAUUUUUGUUUGAAGUUCGUUUUUAAUUCAGUGAUUUAAUGUGAAGUUAUGUUUUGGUUUUUAAUUUUUUGAUUCAAUGUAUCUUUGUUAUAAUUUUGUUGGAUUUAAUUGAUUAUUUGAAGUUUAGUGAUUUGAAUAUGUUUAUUUGUUUUGUUUAAGCUUAAUUCGAGUUUAAUUCGAAUUUGAAUAAAACUUGCUUGUUAUUGUUGUUGAAUCUUUUCAUUUAUGUCCAUACUUUGUUUGAUUGUUCUUGAAUUCAAAAUUAGUAUAAGUUUGAUCUUCUUGUUUGUUGAUUAUCAUUUUUGAUUAUUUCUUCAGUUUGUUUCAUGAUCUUGUUUAGUUUUAAUAUAGAAAUUGUUGGUUGUAAUGUUGUUAGAUUUAAUUUUAAGUUCAAAUGAUUAUUGAAUUUAGAAAUCUGAAUAUACUUGUUUGUUGUUGUUGUGGUUGAAUCUAAAAGUAGGUUUGUUUGUUGUUAAAAAAUAUUGUUCAAUCAAAAUAAUUCUGAUUGUUGAUUUGUUGUUCAUCGUUUAAGUUUGAAUUUGUUGAUUGAACUGGAUUAUAGAUUGGUUAUAGCUGGUAAUUUAAUUUUAGGUUCUUAGAUAAUUUUGAAGUUUGAACAGAUUUUGAAUCAGGGCAUAACAAUAGUUUUAGGGAUAAAACGGGAAUUAACCAAUUACGGAUUAUUUAAUUAUGGUGGGGGACAAGACAUAAUAAUAAAAGCAAAAAGGAAAAGGUUGAUAAUGAUGUCUUCUUUUCAAAAAGUGGGAACAUGGGGGGCCCACGUUGACUACUGUUACUAAAGUAAAUGUGUAGGUAAUAAUAAAAAGUUAAAGGGUGCAAAUAGUAAAAGAAUAUUGGGUUAAUAAGGGGGAAGAGGUAAAAGGGGGUUUUGCUUUGUAUAUAAGGGGGGAGAAGGGAUUGAAUUUAGAGGAAGGAGAUUUUUGGGAGAGAUAAAAAUUUCAGAACUAAAGAGGAGAUAAGAACAUACUUUUAAUCUGGAAGAAGAGGAUUUCUAAAAUAUCCGAAUACUAUUUUUGUGUAUUCCUGAGUGUGAUCUCUGCCUACUGUUUGCUUCCGAGAUUUUCAAUUGGCUUCUUGAGUUAACUGUUGCUCCUUUGUUAUUGCUUUAUUGAGUGGUUGCUGGAAUUUCUGUUUGGUUUUCAAGUCUACUGCUGGGUUUUCUGACUGCUGGUUGUUUGUUGUUGUUGCGCUGUUUCUACUGCUGCUGAUCUUAUUCUUCCUUUCCUUGUAUUCAAAUAUCAGGUACACGACUGUAAUACUAGCUAUUGCAAGCUGAAAAAUGUGAAAGCAUGAAUACAUGAAGAAUGGAACUUUGAAGUUUUAAUUUCGUUUUUUCUUCGUUUCUUUUACUGAUUGUAUUUAGGCUAUUUCAUGUAUUACUGUUUAAUAAUUGGAAUAAGAGAAAAAUAACAUAAGUUGGUCUUUAGUGAAUCAGCCUGGAAAAAUGGGUUAAUUCACUAGCUAUGAAAGUUUUAAUACGGUCAACAGUAGGUCAAUCAUGGAAGGAUAGUUAAAUUUAGUUAAAGCCAAACAAGACUAGAUAAUGUUUAAGUUUAAUAAUCUUUCUAAUAAGCUU
rnacentral:lncRNA from 1 species